ACGCGCCGAUGGGGGACGUGUCGCUCCCGUCCGGCCCUGAAGACCCCGUCGGCUCGGAGGAAUCGAUCCCGCGAGGGGCGAAUCCACCGGCCACGGGAGAGAAGGUGAGGGGAUUGGGAGAAGGUGAGGGCCGGCAGCAACGGGGAGAGGGUGGGGGCGCGGUGGGGGUGGUGGUGGACGACGGCGGCGACGCCGGGGAAGUGGGCGGCGGGGGAGGGGGCUAGGGUUAG
rnacentral:rRNA from 1 species